GAUUUCGGUUCCACAAGCACAUGAGCCUAUUCCAAAUCCAACCAAUCUUAUAAUCCAUUCGAGUGGUGUGAUUUCAUCAGAUUUUUUAUGGGAUUUCAUCAACAAUCAGAUUGGUAUUGCCUACGAUUUCAUCCAGUAGGAGAAUAAUGAAAGCCGGUAGUGAAUUUGUUCAAUCUAAUUCGACGGCGGCGGUGGCCUCGAAAUCGAUGACUAUUAAGGUUUAGAUUUUGAGUUAAGUGAAAUCCCAGGUUAUAUCUUCAUCAUGAUGGAGCUUCAAACAUCAUCCACUACUGAAAAGAGGCGGGACAAAAUGCAAGUCCAUUAAAAUCAGGUCAAGCUGAGGUGCUAUCAAAUUGGCAGGGGCAGGAGCAUAUGCACUCGACCACAUUGAAAUCUAAGGAGCCUGAUUUGGUGCUUGAUUCUUCUUUAAGUGUCAUUAUUACAAUUAUUACACCUGAAAUCGUAAUUUUUUGUUUAAUAUCAGAAAAACACUUGUGUGGAGAUCAUUCCAUAUGGGCCCAUCUUUAGUUCAUACAAAUCGCAUUUUCAUCGUCAACUCAGUGAAGAGGUAAUUGGUUUAUCAAGCUUUAAAUAAAUUGAUAAAAUACUGUAUAAAAAUAUGUCAAUUUCUGCUUCAUCAUGUGCUUUCACAAUCUUUUUAAUCAAUAUUUAUAAAAUUUCAUCCGAAACAUAUUUGUAGUCACGGUACCCCAAGUUAAACCUUUUGGCAUAACGAUUUGAAUUUCAUGUAAAAGUAUUUAAAGUUAUAUGCAUGCAACACCAUGAGUUUAGGUGUAAUACCCCAAGUUUUCAAAGUAAACAACCCCCGGUUCUACUAUUUAGUGUGCAAAUUGGAAUCGGGGAUCAAAGAUGGAAAAUUUAGAUUUGAGGGUCGUAACAGACCAUAGUCGUUGAUAUAACGUUCUGUUAUGAGAUUUUGAGUGGCAACGGACCGUUAUCGAAGCCAUAACAGUCCGUUACAUAGUGGCUAAGGGCAUGGCCUGGAGGUGACACGUGUCCGUAUGACUCACAUCGGUAACGGACCAUUACCAUCACGGUCCCUUUCGUGUCCACAGGUAACUAACUAACUCAACUCAUGAUGAUGUGGCUUUUAUGUUUAGUCUAUUUUAUCAACGAUUUGUUGAAGGUGUGGUGUACCAAUAGUUUGCUAAUUAUAUAUAUUCUUAUGUUUCCUGUUAAGGUAUGCACGCCUCCUAUUUGUGUAAAUGUCAUUGCUAACUGUUGACACUUGGUGUGAUCGAUAAUAAAUGAUUUGAUUCGAAUAGAUUCACAUUUGCUCUUCCUGAAUCGUGUAUUAAUUGCUUAAAAUGUGUGACUAAUCAUGAGUCUGAUUAUGUUUUAUAAUGAUUGUAAUAUGAAUGGAAGAUAAAUUUUGUUUGUUUGUUGAUUUGUGCUUUUGAUCCGGUUAUAAUUCGAAGCUACAAAGUUUUCAAAGCAUUCAUGUAUUGGAAGACAUUGGCUUUCAACAUUUAUGUAACUUGACAGUCCUUAAGAUACUUUUAUAUGUUGUUUUUAGUCUUAUUUUUGUUUAACUUGAUGAGCUUUGAUAGAAAAGAUUCGAUGUGUUGUUUGUGAGAAUUUUGAACUAUGAUUGCGGAAGUUUCUAAUAGUUAAAAGAUAAAUAAUUUUGUUUAGUUUUGCAGUAACUUAAGGAAGCAGGGUGGGCUGAUGGGGGACAUAUUAUUUCUUGUACUCAGCCAAGCUGUGCAGGUAUUGUUAUCCGUGCAGGACCGAUAGAAUAUAUUGUUGGUGAAUGUCACUAUUAUCUAUUGUCACCUUUUUAGAGUUUUUUUAGAACAUCUUUAAAUCCGUAUUACUACAUAUGUUUUCAUAGUGUUGCUGCAAGGCUGGCAGAAGAAAUGGGAGUCAAACUUGGGGAGGAAGUUGGCUAUACUAUUUGGUUUGAAGAUGUGACAAAUUUAGUCACUUGAAGUUCAGUUAAACUUAACAUGUA
rnacentral:lncRNA from 1 species